UAUUUAACUCUAAAAACUUGGUGUUGACCAAGGAAACAGGCAAAGCUAAAAGAAAAUCAAGCAUUAUAUUUGGGGGUCUCAGAACUGCAAUUUGGGGGACACAGAUUUGGGUAGCAGCCCAAACUGUGUCCUCUCAGACAACAAAAGUCAAGAGGUUAUGAAGACGUAAGAGAUGGCUUGUAUUUGUUGUUUACAAAGAAUUUUGAUUGGUGUUGGAGGCAGAAAACGAAACUGAAUAGAAUUUGUUGCUAAGGCUAUCACUGAGCAAAGUUGCCUAGUGUAGCAAGUUGCAGGUGUUUGGGCUGAAUCCUUGGAAUAUUUGUGGUUUGGCCCCUUCCAAAAGUUGAUGGUUUCACUGAUGAGGACCCACAAAAGGCCCAUCUCCUUUCUGGCCUCCUGGCUCCAUUUAAAAACCCCUGGACAUACGUGACCUCAUUUCAUCUCCCAUUUCAGUGUCAAAGGGUAAGACUACAAAUUUUUCGGCCUUCUUCUAACUGUGAGGGUAAAAAAUGCUCCGUUAUUACUUGUAUCCUAAUGGCAGAGGCUUACGUGGCAGGAAAGGACCUGGUUUGUUUCUAGAGGCUUGACACAGAAAUCUCUAGCAAGAAGUCUAUAAAAUUCCCUUUCGAAAAUGCCGGCAAGCAACACGGAGAUGUGUAUCAGUAAAGAAACAAUGGCCUGAAAUCUGCAACACUGUGUGGUAUCACCAAGGAAAACAAUAAUUUAAGCAUCAGAGUAAUUUGCUGUUUGCAUUUCAGUUUACUGCUGGCAAUGUGCCCUACUGUUGGGUUUGCUCUAGCCUCAAAAAGUUUACUGUUCCACUGUGAUUGUUCCAAGUCGCUCCCAAUUAUUGGCGGUUUCCUUUCCUAGGCUUCAUCAUCAUCAUCAUCGUCAUCCUCCAAUGAAAUCAGCUACAAAUGUUUUUAAUUAUUGGAAGCAUCAGUAUUACUACCGCUUAUGGAGGAACGGCUAUGAAGCCUGUUCUCUGCUAAAAUGUUGGCUAACAUUUUAUAUUUACAACUCUUUAAGGUAAAUUCUCGGGUCACCGAAUGUAGAAAUGCAAAGGUCAUAGAAAUCGUCCCCCUUACGGGGGAGGCGGAGUCUUAUUCCUGUUUGCGUGCUGAGCAAUGGAAGGAUGGAAGCACGUUCCCCUCACCAAAUGCCCUCACCUGCCCCUCGUCCUUUUAGGUAUUGUUCCUCUUCUUGCAUUGCCCCCAAGAUGCUGUGUGAUAACUCUGCAGAGAAAAAAGUCAGCUCUCUCAGGGUUGUACCACACAGAUGUGGUUCUCUUCUUUCUUUGUCGUAUCUGAAUGGUUCUUCCCGAUGUCCAUGGCACAUGACUGGUAUUUGGCCAUCGGAAUCUUCAGUGGCCUGAUCAUGAUGGCCUCCCAUGUGUGCAUCCUGGUGGCCAUCUGGAAGAUCCAGAUUGCUCAUGGGAGGCAGAACGUUUUCUCCACCCGCUCCUCUCACCUGGUAGUUGUCUCCAUCCUGUAUGGGACUCUUUUCUUUAUCUCUGUUCGACCUGGCUCAAGUCCCUCCCUGGAUCUCAAUAAAGUGAUUUCUCUGUUGUAUACUGAGGUGAUGCCCAUGUGGAACCCCCUCGUCUAUAGCUUGGGGAAUAAGGAGGAUGAUUAAAGGUGGCCUCCACGAUGAGCAGAAAUCUGAAGAAAAUUGCACAGAUACCUGGAGGAAAAUACAACAGGAGCCGAAGGAAAAGAGAGGAAGAUUCUGAGGUAGAAUCCUGUUCUGCCUGUUCCAAGAAUAGCAAGUGGACUGCAUGAGGUGAUGGUAGGUUUCCCCAAUGGCUACAUCUUACCAACUACAGCAUAGCAUCAAAUACAGGAAAUGGAGAUUGGUGUGAUGUGUGGAUUGCUCUAUACCAUUUUACUUCAUGUGGAGAGAGAUUUGUUUAACCAACUCAACCAUCAAGGUACGGAAUUCUUCCAUCUCUACAUGGAUGUCCCUGUGCUACACCUUUACAGUCGCACCUUCACCCUCCCUGCCUUUCCGAAUCUCAGACAACUACUAACCUGUUCUUCCUUUCUAUAAUUUUACCAUUCUGAGAAGAUAAUGUAAAAAUAGAGUUCUGAACUUUGAGAUGGGCUUUUUUUCAACUCAGUGUAAUGACCUUGAGACCCAUUCAAGCUUGUAUCUGUAUCAUAUUUUUUCCUCUUUCUUACGGAAUAGUAUUCCCUGGUAUGGACAUUCCAGAUUGUUUAACCAUUUAUGUAUGGUAGGAAUUUGUGUUGUUCCAGAUAUCUGGCCAUUAUGAAUAGAGCUUGUGUCAACAAAAUUUACAGGCUUUUGUGUGGGCAUAAAUUUUCAUUUCUUUGGGAUAAAUGCUCAUGUGUGUCCUUUUCAUCCCUAAAUUAUUGAUUUUCUUUCCCAGCUCCUACUAGUACUUAAUUGGUUACAACACUCACUCAAUAUUUAACAACUAGUUUAUUCUUUGAUGAACUAACAAAUUUGAUGGACUCUGAUGAGAUUAAUGGGUACAUCCACCAGUGACUGGAGGAAUGUAGCUGUUUGUAAGGUGUCACCAAGGAGAUCCUGUGGAAGAUUUUAAUCCCUGGUCAAAGCCAUCCUCCCAGGUAUGAGCUUGCCCUCCUUUUUGGAAUCACAAGUCUGUCUUUUACACACCACAACUGACUGUUUAUCUAGAGUCUAAAGGAAUUGGCAAAGAAGUUUCAUUUCUAAUAGCCUGAACCUACAGUUAGGGUAGAUAAGGUAUUUGCCUGAGUUCAGAAAAAUUCACAUAAUGCUUUUUGUCUAUAAGAUGUUUCUUAAAGGAUACUCUGUGCAAUGUAGGAAUUUUAAAAAAUGGGAUCUGGCACAGUUAGAGGACUUGCUUUAGAAGGUCACCAAAGGUCACAUCUCGGUCUACACUUCUGUGAUUUUCUUCAAAAAUCUUGUGAUCGGGAAUAAACUGAAGUGCUGAGAGAGGUUCAGUGUUUAGUAUCACACAGAUAGCAGAUACUGAGGAUGGCCAUUUGGAGGUAGAAGUCAAGAGUGUGAUCUCUCAGUCUACCCUAUGAACUUGAAAAAUGUUGGAAGUUAAAUUCAUUUUCUUACAUUGAUUGAUUUAUUUUGAGAGAGAGGGUGCAUGCCCAAGAGUGAGGGAGGGGCCAAGAGAGAGGCGAG